rnacentral:rRNA from 1 species
AGUGAACGCUGGCGGUAGGCCUAACACAUGCAAGUCGAACGGCAGCACAGUAAGAGCUUGCUCUUACGGGUGGCGAGUGGCGGACGGGUGAGGAAUACAUCGGAAUCUACUUUUUCGUGGGGGAUAACGUAGGGAAACUUACGCUAAUACCGCAUACGACCUACGGGUGAAAGCAGGGGAUCUUCGGACCUUGCGCGAUUGAAUGAGCCGAUGUCGGAUUAGCUAGUUGGCGGGGUAAAGGCCCACCAAGGCGACGAUCCGUAGCUGGUCUGAGAGGAUGAUAAGCCACACUGGAACUGAGACACGGUCCAGACUCCUACGGGAGGCAGCAGUGGGGAAUAUUGGACAAUGGGCACAAGCCUGAUCCAGCCAUACCGCGUGGGUGAAGAAGGCCUUCGGGUUGUAAAGCCCUUUUGUUGGGAAAGAAAAGCAGCAGGUUAAUACCCCGCUGUUCUGACGGUACCCAAAGAAUAAGCACCGGCUAACUUCGUG